GACGAACCGAGCGAACGUUGUCCGGAAUCACUGGGCGUAAAGGGCGCGUAGGCGGCCUGAUAAGUAGGGGGUGAAAUCCUGCGGCUUAACCGCAGGGCUGCCUUCUAAACUGUCGGGCUUGAGCACAGUAGAGGCAGGUGGAAUUCCCGGUGUAGCGGUGGAAUGCGUAGAGAUCGGGAAGAACAUCAGUGGCGAAGGCAGGUCACUGGGCCACUACUGACGCUGAGGAGCGAAAGCAUGGGGAGCGAACAGG
rnacentral:rRNA from 1 species